GGUGCGUAUGGAACAUUUCUGGGAUUUUUUAUUUCAGCUCAUGAAACAUGAGACCAACAUUUUACAUGUUGCGUUUAUAUUUUUGUUAAGUGUUAGUAGAUUGUCCCUGCUAUCACUGCGGAACACUGUUGAGAUAUUAUGCUCUCUGUCUCCCUCUGUCUGCCAGGUGGCCCUUGAAAUGACAGAAUUGAGCGCUGUGUUUCCGCAGGGCUACUACUCCUACAUCUGUGUCUAGAUCAGUGUCACGCCUCUGGAUCCUAGCUAGUCGGGACCAAUGAUAUGCAACAGAAAAUACAUCCAUGUUGUGCCUACAGAAUUCACCCUCAAAGUGUGGACUAAACUACCAAGUCAACAGCAACAGUUCUAUUUCUUGUGCCCAAACCUGAAAUCCACCCAGUUCUGGUAUGAAGCUAAAUCCUCAUGACACCAAUUAGGGAUGUGAUUCUGAGGUAUUGCUGAUACAUGACUGUGGAUCUGUGAUGUUGUAAUACUGAUCUUUUUGCCUCACAAAAACCAUAACAGAAAUGUCACAUGUUUUUACACUUUGUGACUGCAAUAGAAGUUUUUGUAUGGUAAAUGUGAUGUUGUCACGCCCUGACCGUAGAGAGCCUUUUAAUGUCUCUAUUUGGUUUGGCCAGGGUGUGAUUUGGGGUUGGCAUUCUAUGUUUCGUUUUCUAUGAUUUGGUGUUUCUAUGUUUUGGCUGGGUAUGGUUCUCAAUCAGGGACAGCUAUCUAUCAUUGUCUCUGAUUGGGAACCAUACUUAUGUAACGGAUGUGAAACGGCUAGCUUAGUUAGCGGUGCACGCUAAAUAGCGUUUCAAUCGGUGACGUCACUUGCUCUGAGACCUUGAAGUAGUAGUUCCCCUUGCUCUGCAAGGGCCGUGGCUUUUGUGGAGCGAUGGGUAACGAUGCUUCGUGGGUGACUGUUGUUGAUGUGUGCAGAGGGUCCCUGGUUCGCGCCCGGGUAUGGGCGAGGGGACGGUCUAAAGUAAUACUGUUACACUUAGGUAGCCCUUUUUCCCUCCUUUCUUUGUGGGAAGUAGACUUUGUUUAGGGCACAUAGCAUUUAGCUUCACGGUUUGUUUUGCAGUGUUUAUUGUUUUGUUCAGCGUCUUUUUUUCUAAAUAAAGGAAUAUGUACGCUCACCACCCUGCACCUUGGUCCUCCUUAUUCAACAGCCGUGACAGAUGUCCUUGUGUUAUCUAUAAUUGUUCAUGCUGAACAUGUACAGGUAACUGACAAAAUAAUGGAAACAUGAGUAGGCCUAAAUGAGGGAC
ensembl:lncRNA